ensembl:lncRNA
AAAGGUGUAUGUUUGGUGGCCCUGCCAGGCAGGGGGGUUGGAACUACAUGAUCCUUGAGGUCCCUUCCAACCUGGGUCAUUCUGUGAUUCUGUGAUCUGUGAUUCAUGAGAACAGCAACUUUAACGAGUAAUAACGAUAUAAAUCUUUCAAAGAAGUCGGCGGGGGAGCCGAUGUGAAUGCAGGACAGCCUGGCGAACGCUCUUCCUCUGCGGCCUGAAGUGCUUUAGCAGAACAGAACCGCAGCAGUGCGCUCUGGAUCUGGAUCUGGAUCUGGAUGGUGUGCCCCGGUGGUGCAGUGGUAGGAAUGCCGCUUUGCAACACCAGAGGCCCAGGUUCGAAUCCCCCCUGUGGCGCAAGUGGUAGAAGUGCCGCUCUGCUACACAGAGGCUCGAAUCCCGGGGGUUGGACUCGAUGAUCUCUAAGGUCCCUUCCAACCCGCACCAGACUGUGAUACUACGAUACUAUGAGACUGUGAGACUGUGAUACUAUGAUACUGUGAUACUAUGAUACUACGAUACCUCGCGUGCUGCCGCUGCCGCUGCCGCUGCCGUUCCGUCCCUUCCCGGCCGCCGUACCCGUCGGGACUCCUCCAGGAGGCGCGGCGAUGCGCUCACACCGCGGAAUCGAAACGAAGCCGCCGUACAGAGGGCCGAUCCGAUUCGCGCUUACUGCGCGGCAGCCCGCCCCCGGCCUCUCCGGCAGCCAAUGAGGUGCCGGCUACCGCCGAGGUGCCCGGCGAGCCCCGGCGCGAUGGCGGCGGCCACGAGCGGUCGGUGCGCGGUGCUGGGCGCUGUGUCCGCCGGAGCCGGUCGGGCCGUGACGCGAUGGCGGCGCUUCCUGCUGCCCGGCGGAGGGCCGCGCCUGCUGCCCGCCCGCAGCGCGGCGUUGGAGCCCGGGCCAUGCUGUGCCGUGACGGUGGACGUCGGCGGCAGGAAGAUGGAACUGUCUUCUGGAAAACUUGCCAGGUUUGCUGAUGGAGCUGCCGUCGUUCAGGUAAAAACAGCCUCAGGCCUGGGAAACGGCACGUCUGAGUGGGACAUCAGGGGGUGCGAAGGAGCAACGGGCCUCAAGGAGAGAUGCGUUCCUUAAUGGGUGUUUGGCUGUCAUGGGAAGGGGGGGCAGGCUCUUUUUUCUUUUUGCUUUCUGCAAAGCGUGGAAUGGUGUGAGGGAUUUUUUCUGCAGAAAAUGUUUUGAGCUAGAAUUUUAGGAUCUGGUUGAUUUGGGGACUUUUAACGCUAACUGGCAGAUAAUCUCAAUGUGAUUUUCCUUGAUCCAGCUAGGGGACACGGCAGUAAUGGUCACAGCGGUCAGUAAAACCAAACCUUCUCCAUCUCAGUUCAUGCCAUUAGUGGUAAGUUCUACUGACAAAACUUGUUUUCUGGUGAUCCGCGGCAGCCUUAGUUGCACAAGUCAUUGAACAGAGAGCUCGAGAUACUGAGGGGAGCAAAAGCAGAGUACAGAGUUGGGUUUCAGAGUAGAAUCACAGAAUGACCCGGGUUGGAAGGGACCUCAAGGAUCAUGUAGUUCCAACCCCCCUGCCUGGCAGGGCCA